AUGGCUCCCAAUAGAGCUCCUGGACCUGACAAUAUCCCGGUAGAAUUCUACCAAGUAUGCUGGGAUAUUGUCAAGGAUGAUAUCAUGGCCUUGUUUAGACACUUUCAUCGAGGGAUGUUGGAUGUUCAAAGGUUGAACUACGGGAUCAUCACUUUGCUCCCGAAGCUCUCUGGGGCUGACAAAAUCCAACAGUUCAGACCCAUUUGCUUGCUUCGUUGCCCUUAUAAACUCAUCACAAAAGUCCUAGACUGCCGAGUCUCGGUUUAUGCUGACAAGCUAAUUAGCCCAGUCCAGAAUUCCUUUGUCAAGGGUAGAAACAUUAUGGAUGGGGUGCUUUCACUCCAUGAAAUCCUUAAUUACACACAUGUGAAGAAAAAGGUUGGGGUGGUGUUAAAACUGGAUUUUGAAAAAGCGUAUGAUAAGGUUAACUGGGAGUUCCUAUUAGAAUGCCACAAGCUGCGGGGAUUCAAUGAUACCUGGUGUGGAUGGAUUAAUCAGAUCCUUCGGAAUGGCACGGUUAGCAUCAAGUUAAAUAACAGUGUGGGGCCGUACUUCCAAAGUGCGAAAGGGGUGCGACAAGGCGACCCUCACUCCCCAUUCUUGUUUAACUUAGCUGUCGAAUGCCUCACGAAGAUGAUAAAAAAUGCUCAGCGUAAUAAGUUGCUGGUUGGCUUAGCUGCGGACCUGAUCCCUGAUGGAGUUGCGGUACUUCAGUAUGCAGAUGACGCAAUUAUCUGUCUUGAGCAUGACAUCGAUAAAGCAGUCAACCUGAAGUUGCUGCUGUAUAUGUUCGAAAUGAUGUCCAGGUUGAAAGUUAAUUUUCAAAAAAGUGAAAUUCUGACGAUUGGGGGAGACGAUGCUGUGAUUAAGCAAUAUGCCGACCUCUUCAAUUGUGACAUAGGCAGCUUCCCCAUUAAAUAUUUGGGCAUGCCUAUUAGCUAUACUACCUUGAGAAAUUCCGAUUGGGAGUUCAUUGUUUGCAAAUAUUUGAAAAGAUUUGAUGCUUGGGUAGGUAAUGCUGCCUCCAUGGGAGGGAGACACACUUUAGUUGACUCUGUUGUCACUCAGAUAUCCCCUGUACCAUAUGUCCAUGUGGCUGAUGAACAAAACGUUCAUUGA
rnacentral:rRNA from 1 species